rnacentral:lncRNA from 1 species
UUGCGAAUUCCUGAAGUGGGUGCUGGGAACCGAACCGGCUGCAAGAGCAGCGAGUGCUCCUAACCACGCGUCCCCACCAGUCGGGUUAGGUAUGUUGGUUUUAGAAAAGUCUCACUAUGUAGCCCUGGCUGGACUGGAAUCAACUAAGCAGACCAAGCUGCCCUUGAAUUCACGAACAUCCACCCAGCCUCCCCAGCCCACCUCACAGGUCUAGGAUCAAAGGUGGGCUGUCGUCCAGGCCACUUGUUUUGGUUCUUAAUGGAAUGGAGAUUGCUGUGGAAGAAGUGAAAAGAAACUCAUGGUUUUUGGCUUGUAUAAGGUUUUGACUGUGUGUAAAAGAAGACUAGCUUAGCUGAUAUGUCCAUAUUUAUAGGAUUCCUAGUUUUAAUAAUAAUCACAUCACAGUGAGAAGUAACUCCAAGUCCUUAUUCUUUUCAUUUGGACAGCAGGAAGCUGUUGUGAUUAAUGACAUUUCUCUUCUUUUAAAAGCUCUUAACAGAAAAUUCUCCUGACCAGGGACCAAAUAAGGUCUUUGACCUUUGCGUUGUGUGUGGAGACAAAGCAUCAGGUAUGAUUAAAAAUAACCGCACACCAUUACACAAUGUAUGACAAAACUAUGUGUAAGUUUUCUCAGUUAAAAAUUUUAACAUGCAUAAUAGAAUUUUUGAUAAUGAUUUUAUUGUCUUUUCUAAGUUCUCUAACAUUUUUUUACUUAAUGGUUAACUAUUGAAUGCUUACUAAAUCACCAGCACAGGAUUAAAAAUCUUAUGUUUUCAUUUUUAUGCACUCUAACAUUUUUAAUGCUACAUUAUAGAAUGUAAAACUCUGUAUCAUUAUUAAACCCACCACCGGAUAUGGUUGUUUGAAUUUCUACUUAAAUAAAUCCUAAAAAAAAAAAAA